GAAUUGAAUUUGAAUUGAACGAAUUCCUUUUUCCACGCAAAGAGGUUCAGAGGAUGAACGAACAAAAUCGCCUUCUCCUCUUCCUUUCUUUAUCUCUCUCGCUAGCCACCGUUUUUCUUCUGCAUCCAUUUCUUGCUUCGAUUUAAAUUCUUCACAUCCACAAACCAAUAUAAGAAUCUCUCUUUCCCUUUCAAUUUUUUAGAUUCUUUCACCGAAACGAGAAAGCAAAUUGUCGCCGUCAUUUUUCUCUCAUGGUUUUAGAUCUAGUUCCCAUCCUUGCACAAGAAAACCUUCCAGUUGAAAUAAUACAGUCCUAUGAUUUGGUAGCCUCUAAUGCCUUGUUCAAGCAACCAUUAAAGCUGUUUAAUUCAAAAGGGACAAAUGGAGUUGAAAAAAGGAACAAAUACUGCAACAAUUAAAAAAAAUUAUGAAGUUCUACAAAUAUCUGUAUAGUCUUGAAUCCAAGGAGAUUGAAUCAACACUCCCACGAUCAAAAGAUUGGUGGUUACAACAGUUACUGAAUUGGGCAAUGGAAAGCCAAAGUUCUAUUCAACCCUUGAUAUAAUCUCUUAUUGCAGAAAAUGGCUAUUACCAACAAAUCACAUGUGGUUGUUCUCAACAAGAAAAUCAGCCUCUUCCUUCUUUGCUGCCUAUAAUGCCUUAUGUGAGGAAGGUACUGCAACUUCUGUGUGCAGGGCUCUUGAUGAAAUUGCCGACGUAUCUGUACCAGGAUUGAGUUUGUAAUUGGUUUUCAAGUUAAUAAUGUUUGGUGUCAAACAAUUGGCAAACCUGGUAACUCUUAGCAGCCUUUAACUCUUGUUAACUCCUGCUCAAAUUCACUUAUUGCGAGUGACUGUGGUAAAGAGUGGAACUAGAGCUUUACCGUAUCUGUGAUUGGAUGGUGACACGAGUUCCAUUGGUUUUCCUGGGUUAAGCCUUUUACUCGUUGCUAAGUGUAUAGGGAUUGGUCUGCCGGAGCUUAUUUUCUAGUAUUUGUGUCCCAGGCAGAGUUCCUUCAAGUUGCAUCCACGUAGUGUCUUUAUACUUUAGCGAAUGAGAUUGAAUUAUAUCCAUUCAUUGAUUUUCUCUUUUUCAAAUAUAUUUUUAUAAUUUCAAUUCAAGUAUACAAUGGUACUAUUUUGACUAGAGUGCAUUUUUGCCCUUAUUGGAAAGCUUUCUCUCACUCAAGUGGAUAUAUGUUACAUCUAUCUUUCUGAAGAUAUUCUCUUUUUAAAAUUGGAAUAGGAUUUGGUUUCUGAUUAAUUGUUAUUCUUUCUUGUGAAAAUGAUUUUCUUAAAUUGUAUAUUCUGUCUUUUUGGUUCACAGUCUAGUGGAGCUUUCAUUGCUGUAUAUAGGUAUGCAAGUGCAACACCAUUACUGCCUUCUAUUCUUAGUCAGGGUAUUGGUUGGCAGGUACGAAUAUAUGACUAAAUCUUGCUUUAUAAAUGAUAAUCGUGAUAACUAAUAAUUGUAAAAGUUCAUAAUUGAUUUGACUGUAAUGAUGAUUUUCACCUAGUAAUCAAGUAGAACUUUCACUUUCAAGUAUCUUAUUUAUGCU